GGGGCCCAGAGAGCUGUGGCUUCAGAAGCGCCCCAGGUGAUCCCGAUGACACUCAAGUGGGAGCCCCACCGCUUUGUUUUGCACUUAGAGCUCGCUUCUGUGUCUCUUCGGUCAGCUGGUCUGGUUCCCGGCUGUGGUUCCUGAUCCCUGAAGUCUGGUUCCAUGGGCAUAAUCUUUGCCCGUUGAACCUGAGGGAACUGCCUUGUCAGUUUCCCUCCCAGGCUCCGGGCCCUGCUCCUCCACCCCGUCCUCCCCACUCUGCUUCCUUCUCUCAUAGCAGUUGAGGCUUAACCUCAUCCUGUAAGCAACAGAGACCCCGGGUCUGUUUGCCCCCUCCGGACCUGCUGCAUUGAGUUAGUAUCCAAUAUGCUGCUAUCAAAUACUUUUGAAUGAAAGGAUUAAGCAGCUUUUAGUUUCCAAAAUUCUUCUCCCCAUAUUAUCUCAUCAGAUCAUUGUGACAGUCAAAGACAGAGCUCAAGGGUUAACCAUAUUUAACAGUCAACAACACCGGGGCCAACCCAGGUUAUAGGACAGUCAGCAGUAGAGCAAAGUCUGGAAUUCAAGUCUCUUAAAUCCUGAUACAGUAGCCCGUUCCACUGAGCGGCAUUUUCUGCACUCUUCAUCUAGCCAGUGGUAUUUCCCACUCUCCCCGAAGCACAUCAUUAGCAUUUCCUGCAAGGCCCACAUUUGAAAUCAACACUCACUUCUCGCAGGUACUGGUUUAAACUGGACAAACCGCAGACGGUGUCCUUUACCUUGUUGCACAGGUGCACACCAAAAGAUUUAGUAGAAGACAGGAGACUGGAUGUUGGGCCGUGCAGAGAAGGUCGCGUGCACCUGCGGUGAUUGGUUCAUGGGGUCAAAUGAGUCUCUGGCGAUUGACAGAGUUGAUUAAUGGGUUGGAGAAUCCUGCAGUGGUUGAGACAUCACGUGAUUUUUAACUCGCCCCUCUUACUAGUUUGCAUUUGUCCCUCAUGUCUUAGGAACAUCAAGAAUAAAGUUGGAGUGGGAGAGA